AACAUGAUAUUUUACACACACACAAGCAGCUUAAGAUUAAACAAGUUCUCAAUGCCCUCCAAAAGUACACAUGAGACUAUGGAGAUCGAAUGCAUGAGAAUACAAUUAUUGCCACAAAAAAGAUACAGCAAUAUAAAGUAACUUGAGUUUAUUCUCUACCGGAUCUGAGCCCACUUGAAGAGUUUCCAGUAAAUUUUCAGCCAUUUCCUCUCACCUCAUCGGCAAUAUUUAUUGUACGAUUGGAUGCAUUUGACUGGUGAUAAAAUGCAUCAUUGGUUUCUUUCACAUAAUGCUACAGUUAGAUUUUGAUGAACCAUCACCAAUAGCA
rnacentral:lncRNA from 1 species